UAAAAUGAAAGUUGCAACAAAUGGUAGGGUUUGUUCUGUGCUCUUGUGUGGCGAUUCCGGAGGCGAUUCCACUGUUUGUGCUUCAAAUCGACGACGCUUUCCUACACAGUGCACAACGUUGGGCUUCAAAUCGACAAAAACCAAACUGGGCUUGAAAUUGAUGAAGCUUUCCUACACAGUCGUCUUUUUGUCACUGCUAUGGGCUUGAAAUCGACCACAACGAAAUAGAUCUAAAGCUUUCCUUGAGAGUCGUCUUCUUCUCACUUAUCGGGUUUCAAAUCGACCACUGUGUAUGAAGAUCUGAAGAGAAACUCCCUCUGUCUCACCUCUGCGUUUUCCGGCAAACCCAAGCUUCGCCAUUACCUUCUGUCACUCCGACGAGUUCUUUGCGAAGGGGCAGAGCUCUCUCUUCACCGCGUCUCUCUCCACUCUCGGAUUCUCUUCUCUCUGUCCAGAAUCUCCCCAAGCUCUCUCUCUAUUUCCUCAUCUCUCUCAUCUCGGUAUGUUGAGUUUUGUUAGAAUUUUGUUUAAAAUUUUUUAUUUUAUUUGAAAGAUGAUACAAACUCAGUUUUUUAUAGAAAGAUCUGUGUUCUUCGGCUAUGAAUGUGCUCGUGCUAUUCUCUAUUAUUACCACCAGUCUCUUUGUUUUGUAUUCUUGGCUGUAAAAUCUUAACUGAUGUUGAAAAAAAAUUUGUUGGGUAUGAAAAAAAAAAAAACAAAAUUCUU